rnacentral:rRNA from 1 species
UGAGGAAUAUUGGUCAAUGGGCGCAAGCCUGAACCAGCCAUCCCGCGUGCAGGAAGACGGCCCUAUGGGUUGUAAACUGCUUUUCCGGGGGGAGAAUUUUUCUGUCGUGACAGGAAUUGACGGUACCCUGGGAAUAAGCAUCGGCUAACUCCGUGCCAGCAGCCGCGGUAAUACGGAGGAUGCGAGCGUUAUCCGGAUUUAUUGGGUUUAAAGGGUGCGUAGGCGGAUUGAUAAGUCAGUGGUGAAAACCCGCAGCUUAACUGUAGACUUGCCGUUGAUACUGUCAGUCUUGAGUGUGGUCAAGGUAGGCGGAAUGUGUAAUGUAGCGGUGAAACGCUUAGAUAUUACACAGAACACCGAUUGCGAAGGCAGCUUACUGGGCCAUUACUGACGCUGAUGCACGAAAGCGUGGGGAUCGAACAG